CCUACGGGUGGCAGCAGUGGGGGAUAUUGCACAAUGGGGGGAACCCUGAUGCAGCGACGCCGCGUGGGUGAAGAAGCGCCUCGGCGCGUAAAGCCCUGUCAUCAGGGAAGAAAAUGACUGUACCUGAAGAAGAAGCCCCGGCUAACUACGUGCCAGCAGCCGCGGUACUAAGUAGGGGGCAAGCGUUAUCCGGAUUUACUGGGUGUAAAGGGGGCGCCGACGGGGAUGCAAGCCAGGAGGGAAAGGCCGGGGGCCAACCCCGGGACUGCUCUUGGAACUGCGUGGCUGGAGUGCAGGAGGGGAAGGCGGAAUUCCUGGUGUAGCGGUGAAAUGCGUAGAUAUCAGGAGGAACACCGGUGGCGAAGGCGGCCUGCUGGACUGCAACUGACGUUGAGGCCCGAAAGCGUGGGGAGCAAACAGGAUUAGAUACCCUAGUAGUC
rnacentral:rRNA from 1 species